rnacentral:lncRNA from 1 species
GAUAGCAUCUGUGACUUGGUGUCGAAAGCUAUCGGGGUUUCUGAUCCUGUUCGCGCUUACCAUGUGAAUCUGUCAGUUUUCACCUCAAUUCCUGAUUUUUGGGCAUUUGGCCAAUUGUUUCCGAUCGUUCCAAUUCAUCGUUUGGAUGAAAAGCCUACAAUGAGAGGAAUACUGUCGGACCUGACCUGUGACAGUGAUGGGAAGGUAGACAAGUUCAUUGGGGGCGAAUCAAGCUUGCCACUCCAUGAUUUGGGAAGCAAUGGUGGUGAUGGUGGGCGGUAUUAUCUGGGGAUGUUUUUGGGUGGGG